rnacentral:rRNA from 1 species
AGUGAACGCUGGCGGUAGGCCUAACACAUGCAAGUCGAACGGCAGCACAGUAAGAGCUUGCUCUUACGGGUGGCGAGUGGCGGAAGGGUGAGGAAUACAUCGGAAUCUACUUUUUCGUGGGGGAUAACGUAGGGAAACUUACGCUAAUACCGCAUACGACCUACGGGUGAAAGCAGGGGAUCUUCGGACCUUGCGCGAUUGAAUGAGCCGAUGUCGGAUUAGCUAGUUGGCGGGGUAAAGGCCCACCAAGGCGACGAUCCGUAGCUGGUCUGAGAGGCUGAUCAGCCACACUGGAACUGAGACACGGUCCAUACUCCUACGGGACGCAGCAGUGGGGAAUAUUGGACAAUGGGCGCAAGCCUGAUCCAGCCAUACCGCGUGGGUGAAGAAGGCCUUCGGGUUGUAAAGCCCUUUUGUUGGUAAAGAAAAGCAGCAGGUUAAUACCCCGCUGUUCUGACGGUACCCAAAGAAUAAGCACCGGCUAACUUCGUG